AUUGAACGCUGGCGGCAGGCUUAACACAUGCAAGUCGAGCGGGGUGAUGGUGCUUGCACUAUCACUUAGCGGCGGACGGGUGAGUAAUGCUUAGGAAUCUGCCUAUUAGUGGGGGACAACAUCUCGAAAGGGAUGCUAAUACCGCAUACGUCCUACGGGAGAAAGCAGGGGAUCACUUGUGACCUUGCGCUAAUAGAUGAGCCUAAGUCGGAUUAGCUAGUUGGUGAGGUAAAGGCCUACCAAGGCGACGAUCUGUAGCGGGUCUGAGAGGAUGAUCCGCCACACUGGGACUGAGACACGGCCCAGACUCCUACGAGAGGCAGCAGUGGGGAAUAUUGGACAAUGGGGGGAACCCUGAUCCAGCCAUGCCGCGUGUGUGAAGAAGGCCUUAUGGUUGUAAAGCACUUUAAGCGAGGAGGAGGCUCUUUUGGUUAAUACCCAAGAUGAGUGGACGUUACUCGCAGAAUAAGCACCGGCUAACUCUGUGCCAGCAGCCGCGGUAA
rnacentral:rRNA from 1 species